rnacentral:rRNA from 1 species
UACGAAGGGGGCUAGCGUUGCUCGGAAUCACUGGGCGUAAAGGGUGCGUAGGCGGGUCUUUAAGUCAGGGGUGAAAUCCUGGAGCUCAACUCCAGAACUGCCUUUGAUACUGAAGAUCUUGAGUUCGGGAGAGGUGAGUGGAACUGCGAGUGUAGAGGUGAAAUUCGUAGAUAUUCGCAUGAACACCAGUGGCGAAGGCGGCUCACUGGCCCGAUACUGACGCUGAGGCACGAAAGCGUGGGGAGCAAACAGG